CGUCAAAAUUCUUCAUUUGAAUUUCUUAGGGAAAUCAUUUACAUACCCUGUGUGUAAAUUUUGAUUGAUAAAUAUUUAGAAGCGGGAAGCAAGCAUACCCUUAAUCCCAUACGAUCCCUUCUCAGUUCUCUCUAUGUAUAAAUAUCUUUGUUUUUCCAUACAUUUCUUAUAUGUGCAGUACUACCAGAAGUUGGUUUCAAUCGCUCACACCCCAGAUUUGAGCUACUAACCUACUUGAACUAGAAGACUUCCUCCACCUUGCUAGACGUAACAAGAAUGUCAACACUUCUGAUGGGUCACGGAGGGAGAAUGAAGCUUUAGUAUCCUUUGGGCUUGAAGUUACAAUUAUUGGGUAUCCUUGGCCCCUUCUUAGCAUUACCUGCAAAAUUCAUUUGUGACUAAUUGAGUAUUGCCUGCAGCCUAAAGGAAACAAACUAUACAAAGAACCAUGAAUUCCAUUCUCCUUGAUCUGUCAUAUUUUUGUAAAACAACUUGUAGUGCCUUCAUAUUUUAUCUCGAAUGAUACCUUGAAAGCAUCUUCAUCCGUUCGAUCAUCUCCUAUGUACACAGGUAGAACAUCAUUGGAGUUGCCUAGCCCUAGAGUGUCAAGUAAAUAUUCUAAAGCAUUACCUUUGUCCCACUCUAUCGAUGGUCGUAUUUCCAUAACCUUUAUGUGAAUUUUCACAAGCAUUAGAGGAAAAUCUUGCUACUUGCAAACAAAUAAAAAAAAGGUGAAAUUAAGAAUUAUCCCUACCUUUUUACCCCAACUUAAGUGAAACUCCGGAUAAUGUUCAAGUACAGACUUCACCUUCUUCUCUAAAAUUUCAUAAUCCUGGAUUUAACAACAAUAUACUAGUUGUAAUAAAUCUCUCUCAUCUCAUAGAAUAAAACAAUAUAUGGUGCGCUUAUUGCAAUGCCUGACUAGGUUUUAUGAAGAAAAUUAAAGAAUUCAUCAUUACUCUGCACUAUCAAUAUUGAGUUUAUUACCUCUUCUCUAACCUGUCGGAAAUGUACAGAGAUGCAAAAUCUAUUGUCCUCUACCCUGGCACCUUGUAUUUUCAUGACUUUCUCUUUCAAUGCUGUUCGCAUCUUUUGAAUUGCAGGCAAAAAUUUCUUAGCAGGUUGAAAGAGAACCUCAUUCCCCUUCUUAUCAAGGGCUACGGUAUGGUGCUUCCCAUCACAGGACUUAACCGGCCUCGGUGGGGCCAAAAUGUCCAUGCCAUGGCUUCCUGCAUAGAAAACAUUACUUAACUGUACAAAUUCUUUAACCUUGUCCCUGCUCCUACCACUGAUUAUAGCUGUUGGAAAAUACUUUGCAACUUCACGUACUGCUGCACGCAUCUCAUCAGACAUGAAGGCAAGAUCAGGAUUAUCUACAAUAGGUGCAAGAGUACCGUCAUAAUCUAAAAACACGGCAAUCUUCUUACCCUUUGCUGCUCUCAUCAUCUGAUCAAAUGAACCCAAUGCAGAAGGGUGUUCCACCACCCAUGUGUCAUAACUUGCAUCAUCUAUGGAAAUAGGUCCACCUUCGAUGAGAUGACUUAUAACAUUAGAUGCUCUUAUACUUGUGGAGCGAUCAUUUCCAGGCUGCAUUUUUGGUUUAUUUGUGGAUGAUCUUUGAAUUCCCAUAGCCUGAUUGAACUUUGCAAUAUUUAUCUUGAAUAUUUCUGAGAAAAUCACUAUAAGCUGGCUGAGUUAGUAAAACAAGUUCUUCACAACUCCAACUGCUUAACAAGUUUGGGCGUAUUUCUUGUGAAUUGUCUACGGGGGCGAAGAGCUUCACGAGGAGAAAAUGAGGGGGAGGUGCAAGGAGAAGCGACAGAGGCAGUUUGAAGAGAGAGAAAGUGAUAGAGAGAGGCGCAAAGAUGAAG
rnacentral:misc_RNA from 1 species